GCAUAUAGUAAAAAGUUAAGACCACACAACAUCCAACCAGAUGACAGCUCAUGUAUACUAAUGUAAUACCUAACAAAAUUAAAGAAAAAUAAAAGCAGCAGAAGUGGGCAUUGUAUAAAUGCAAUACCACCAGGGGUACAGGAUUAAGAUCUACAGUCAACCAGUAACAUAAGAACUACCACACCAGAUGAGACCAGAGUCCAUUUAGUCCAGUGCCUCUGAUGCUUCAAAGGAAAAGUGCAGAAAAAAAAUGAAGUAGGCAACUGUGGAAUAAAUUAUCCAUAGGGAAAACUUAUUUCUAAUUCCUCUGAGGUUGGUUUUAUGCCUUGAAACAACAGUACUUCCCAUAAUAAAUAUUUUAUUUCCCCCCUAGAUUGUCAGUUCAAAAAAUAAGUGCCAUUUUAUUGGAAAUGUAUUUAUCUACCUUAAAACAUAAGAUUAAAUUUAGCCAACAAGCAUAUCCUCAAACAUAAUUUCUGAAUGGUCACCUUAAACUAUUUAACCCAAUGGACUGGAGCACUGA